GGGAAGGGGAUCAGCCGGUGUCACUCCUGCAGGCUGCACGGGAUCCGGGUGUGAGGUUCUGCACGGGACAGAGCCUGAGGAGCGACAGGAGAGGUCACUACAGGUGCUUCACCCAACAGGUCUUCACCCCGAGGAAAAAGUGGAAAACCCUACUGAAGCCCUAGACACACAGAUGAAGAAGGCAGCACGACACAUGCAUUGUCAUAGUAAAACAUAUCCGCAGCAACGUAGAACAAGUCUGCAGCUUCGCUUUUAACCCCUAAACCCAAGCCAUGUCAGACAGCAGGUUGACUUUACUUUGAAUGCUCCUCCUUUUCCCUGGCUGAACAAUACAGCAGGGCUCCGCUCCCUUCCCGGGGUGGGUGACUUGCCUGGAAUUACACGCGAACAUCUGCAAGCCCUAAGGCUGGACUUUACUUCCCGAGCGCGGAGGGCGGCGGGCGCCGCGCCGCCUACCUUGGCCACCCAGCU